rnacentral:rRNA from 1 species
GGGAUUGCCCUAGUAACGGCGAGUGAAGCGGCAUCAGCUCAAAUUUGAAAUCUGGCUCUUUCAGAGUCCGAGUUGUAAUUUGCAGAGGGCGCUUUGGUGUCGGCAGCGGUCCAAGUUCCUUGGAACAGGACGUCACAGAGGGUGAGAAUCCCGUACGUGGUCGCUGACCUACACCGUGUAAAGCCCCUUCGACGAGUCGAGUUGUUUGGGAAUGCAGCUCUAAAUGGGAGGUAAAUUUCUUCUAAAGCUAAAUACUGGCCAGAGACCGAUAGCGCACAAGUAGAGUGAUCGAAAGAUGAAAAGCACUUUGGAAAGAGAGUCAAACAGCACGUGAAAUUGUUGAAAGGGAAGCGCUUGCAGCCAGACUUGCUUGUAGUUGCUCAUCCGGGCUUUUGCCCGGUGCACUCUUCUGCGAGCAGGCCAGCAUCAGUUUGGACGGUUGGAUAAAGGCCUCUGUCACGUACCUUCUCUCGGGAAGGCCUUAUAGGGGAGGCGUCAUGCAACCAGUCUGGACUGAGGUCCGCGCAUCUGCUAGGAUGCUGGCGUAAUGGCUGUAAGCGGCCCGUCUUGAAACACGGACCAAGGAGUCUAACAUCUAUGCGAGUGUUUGGGUGUCAAGCCCGAGCGCGUAAUGAAAGUGAACGGAGGUGGGAUCCCGCAAGGGUGCACCAUCGACCGAUCCUGAUGUCUUCGGAUGGAUUUGAGUAAGAGCAUGGCUGUUGGGACCCGAAAGAUGGUGAACUAUGCUUGAAUAGGGUGAAGCCAGAGGAAACUCUGGUGGAGGCUCGCAGCGGUUCUGACGUGCAGAUCGAUCGUCAAAUUUGGGCAUAGGGGCGAAAGACUAAUCGAACUAUCUAGUAGCUGGUUCCUGCCGAAGUUUCUCUCAGGAUAGCAGUAACGUUUUCAGUUUUAUGAGGUAAAGCGAAUGAUUAGAGGCCU